GGACCUUUUUCAUCUUAAAGCAACAUUUACAAAUACAACAAAAAUCGUUUCCAACUGCAAAGCCAAAAGUCCCCAUUUUAUAAGCAUUGUUAUACAGUGACGGAAAUUCACUUUUUCCGGUGGGGGGCAAAGCCUCCUAAAUUUCCGACAAAACUUUGAAAUUUCCGACGUACCCCCCAUUUGCACUCGAAAAGACUGUUUUUAGCCCUCUUUUAGAUCAAAAUUUCCGAAAAUUCGUCAAUUUUCCGGAAGGGGGGGGGGCGGCCGUCCCCCCCCCCCGCUUCACCAAGAUUUCCGCCACUGUUGUUAUAACUACAAUUAUUUAUUACCAAAUGACUAUCUAUAGGUGCAAAACCGUACCGUGCUUGAAUACAUUAACUGAGUAAUAAAAGUCUCCUUGAUGAAAAUUACCAAACUGAAUUACAAAAAUCUCGACUAUACUUAGAUUGUACUUUGGAUUGGUCAAGAAAAGUAAUCCGAAAGAUUGCACUUUUACUACCGUAUACUGGACCAAUAAUUGUUUCUUGGAUAAUCACAGUACCUUCUCCAGAAGAU